rnacentral:miRNA from 1 species
CCUUCCAGUCAAAGAGUUUCUGUAACCCCUUUGACCGGAAGGAUUCCUUCCAGUCAAAUAGGUUACAAAACCUCUUCAACCGGAAGGAUUCCUUCCAGUCAAAGAGGUUACAAAACCUCUUCAACCGGAAGGAUUCCUUCCAGUCAAAGAGGUUACAAAACCUCUUUGAGCGGAAGG